rnacentral:tRNA from 1 species
UCCGUUAUGGUGUAUCGGCUAGCAUCCGUCGCUUUCAUGAGACGCAAGUCAAAUGUGAGCUUCCGACGAGAGCCGGGUUCGAUUCCCGGUAACGGAA